AGUCUUAUAUUCAAAAAUGAUAUUAAAUUGCAAAUUUAAAGGAGGGGUUGCCCUAAGGCUU
rnacentral:tRNA from 1 species